rnacentral:lncRNA from 1 species
AUUUUCCGAGCCGAUUAGGACAAGCCGAUUGGGUCAUACAGUACCUGUAGAGGAGGAUUACAUAUGUUCAAUUCAUGGACUAUUCAGACAUCAUCAGUAUGUACCUAAUACGAGAGUUGAGUAUGAGAAGAUGUAAACUGCAAAAUGCUACCGCAAACCUCUUGCUGGUUGACCCCGUCAGGCAUCAGAGCCUUGUCUCGUCCUCGGCCGGUCGACUCUCACCGGCUUUGCUUCGUCGAACGGGCGGACCGUGAACACAGCGGACGACAAGUUGAGUCACGGAGUCAGGUUUAUCGAAUUCUCCGAAUCUAAUUUUGAUUUGCUGGUUACGGACGCCGCUGGAGCCUUAGCAGCAGGUGCGGGCACAGGCGACCUCUGCACCUGC